rnacentral:rRNA from 1 species
GGGUGAGUAACACGUAGACAACCUGCCGACAGGAUGGGGACAACAUUCCGAAAGGAAUGCUAAUACCGAAUGAAGCGGAGGAGAGGCAUCUCUCCUCCGUGAAAGAUGGCCUCUAUUUAUAAGCUAUCACCUGUCGAUGGGUCUGCGUCUGAUUAGCUAGUUGGUGAGGUAACGGCUCACCAAGGCGACGAUCAGUAGCCGGUCUGAGAGGAUGAACGGCCACAUUGGGACUGAGACACGGCCCAGACUCC